rnacentral:rRNA from 1 species
UAAUCUAUAGGUUGUUAUUACGAUUUAGGUUUAUUUUGCCUUUUGCAUCAUGCUUGAUGGAUUUUUUUAAAUUAUUUUUUAAAUCGAAAAGUUUAGAUCUUAGUUUUAAUUGUUUGGAACUUUAUGUUCUUGUGUAAAGGUUUAUUAAAUUAAUUCUAUGAUGUGAUAAGUUAUUCGUUAAACUUUAUAUCUAUUUUGUUGUUUAUAAUUUUGUAUUACGUAAUGAGCUAAGAGGUUCUUUAUGGUGUUAUACACUUUUAUUAUUUUUGUUAAGAUAAGGUUAAAAGUACCUAUUUUUUAUGAGGUUGUUAAAAAUUUGUGUUUUUGGGUUUAGUGUUAAUUUUUGUGACAACAUAUUUUUACUUUUAGUGAUUUAUACAUCAUUGAAUAAGUAAUUAUAUUAUUUUAAUUAUUUCUCAGAAUUUUUCCGUCUGUUUAUUAAAAACAUUUCUAGAUUUAAUAUUAUCUAGUAGUGCCUGCCCAGUGUUUUUUUUAUAAAUGGCCGCAGUAUAUUGACUGUGCGAAGGUAGCAUAAUUAAUUGCCUUUUAAUUGGGGGCUUGUUUGAAUGGUUUGACGAGAUAGAGAUGAAUAUUUAGUAUUUACUUGAAAUUAGUUUUGAGGGCACAGAUUCCUCAGUUAUUAAUUAGACGGAAAGACCUUGGGAUCUUUUAAUUUUGCUUGGGGCAAGUUUAAUUAUUGUAAUUAUAUUUGGACCCUAUAAUGGUUUAUUGAAUUAAGUUACCCCAGGGAUAACAGUGUAAUGAUUAAUGAGAGAUCAUAUCUAGUUAAUCGUUUGCCACCUCGAUGUUGACUUAGGUUGUAGCCCGGGUGUAGGAGUUUGGGUGUAUGGGUCUGUUCGACCUUUUAACCUCCAUGAGUUGAGUUAAGACCGGCGUGAGCCAGGUCGGUUCUUAUCUAUUGUAGAAGUUUAUCAGUACGAAAGGACAGUAAGCUUUUUUAUU